GGAAGCAACCGACUUGUUGUUAACUCCGACAAUUUGGAAGUAAUUGACACAAUGAAGAAUGGAGGACAUACAGCGGGAGCGGCGGCGGCUGUGUUUGAUGAUUGUUAUUUUAUGGCUUGUGAUUUUCUGUUAGUUAGAUUUGAACAUUGUAAUAGGGAGGCAAAUCAAGUAGCUCAUGAAAUUGCUAGAGUAGCUAAAUUUUCCGAGACAAGGGAUUGGUUUGAGGAACCUAUGAGUGAUAUUGUAAAUUUUCUUAUAGACGAUGUAACCAUUAUUACUAAUAAACAAAAGGAUGUUUCAUUUCAAAAAAACUGGGAGGCCGUGGCCUCCUCACGCAGCCACCUUCCCUCCAAAAAAGAUUCGGAUUCCUCUGCUUCAAGCCAGCGCUGCCGUUGGUCUGCCGCGUCUCCGGUAGCCUCAGGGCCAUGGGGCGCGGUGGAUCCCAGCCCUUGCUGGUGGGUGGGAUCUGUUUUUAGAUGUUACCUCGAGUUUUGUUAG
rnacentral:rRNA from 1 species